GGCCUUGAUUGCCAGAAGGGCCCUCGGCCGGGGACGCGGGAUGAUGCGGGGCCGGGAGAUGCUUUCCUGGAGGCUGAGAAACCUGGAGGGAGACCCCCAAAACUUCUCAGUUCGCCGACCCCUUGGUCCCAGAGGGAGAGGAGCAUCCCCAAAGAACAUUCAAGUCUGAGCCUCAAGGAGCCUCUGCGACUCGGUGUCUAGAUCCAGGAAAUGGAGAAUGAGCCGUGACUUUGGAUGCUUCACUCUUGUCCAUCAGGCUCGGAAUUGGCCUGUUGAAGUAGGAGGCAGGACUCAACUUCAGACCAGAUUGAAGACUGGCUGACACAGAAGAGGCACCAAAAGCACCUCUCUCUCCAUAAGACAUGCCCACCAGUGCCAUGACAGUUUACCAUUGCUAUGGCAAUGCCCAGAAGUUCUCACCCCUUUUCCAGACAUUUCUGCAUAAUCUACCCCUCAAUUGGCAUGUGAUCAAAAGUGGGUGUCAAAAUGACUGUGGAACUGUCCCUGAGCUGCUACUCUUGACAUGCUGGUUACAGGGUAGCCCGGCUCUGCAGGGACAGUCACGGAGCUGAAAAACUGCUGCCUAAUGAAGCUGUUUUCUUC
ensembl:lncRNA novel transcript